UAGUCUCACCGUCUUUUUUACUCCACAUUUCUUUCAGUGACUAGAUUAUGACUUUAGGCAACGUUACCAGAAUGUUCUGGGAACCAAAAACAAAACUUUCAGUA